UGUUAAUCAAAUCAAAUCAAAUUUUAUUUGUCACAUACACGUGUUUAGCGGAUGUUAUUGCGGGUGUAGCGAAAUGCUUGUAUUUGACUACAGGAAAGGGCUACGUCAUAGUGUAUUGGGUAAACAGGGUAUAACCUAACAUCAGUCUCACCACUGUGUUUCAGGGUUCUUUAUAUUUCUGUUCCACUGUCUGAUGAAGGAGAAUGUGAGGAAACAAUGGAGAAUCCAUUUGUGCUUUGGCAGCUUUAGACUCCAAGAAUACUCUGAAUGGAGCCAUACUGCCACAGUUGGAGCCAAAUCCAGGCCUAGCCCUCUGGUGCGCAUGCCCUCAGUGAGGUCCAUCAAGUCCAGUGCCACAGAUAGCACCUCAGCCUUCUCCGACUCCAGUCAACGAUAAGUCUCCAUCAGAAGACCUAACUUGGGUGAGAUCCCAUUUUUUCCAAACCUCGUGUAUGAGAAUUGUUUGGCACUACCACGUGUCCAACGCAACCACACUCCUCUUCCUCACAAGAGCGCCUCUUUCCCAGCGGAGGGGAACUACGAGGGGCCCACUUGGCAAGAUGGAUCUCACCCAAGACAUUGGCUACCCAUCCCUUAACACCUUUCAAAAUCAGCAAGGAGGAACACCUUUUAAUUUGUGCUAAAUGAAUGAAUAGAAAAACAAAGAUUGUACGUCAACUUGUGCAGUCAGCGUGUACAAUCUGAAAUAUCAGACAUAGCUUGCUUCUGUGUAACAUGGCAGCUUGUGCUUUGACUCAAUCUUAAUGGGAGAUAAACACACUUGUCAAGGAAGUCUCCCUAAGAGAGUAGCAUAUGCACAGUAUGAUAAAGCAAAAAUGAUUUGGGUCAUAAUAUGAAUUAUGUUUUUAAUUUCUUCUUACAUUGGAACACAUAAAAAUGCAGUUAUAUCUGAUGAGUGAUGUCCUGAUGUUCAUCCUUACUGAUCUAUUCAUUGUACUUAAGGUGUGACAAAUUAGACUAGUCUGUAAACGUGUGUAAA